rnacentral:tRNA from 1 species
CGGUUUAGCUCAGUCGGUAGAGCAUCUCAUUCGUAAUGAGCAGGUCGCUGGUUCGAUUCCGGCAUCCGG